rnacentral:rRNA from 1 species
AUUGAACGCUGGCGGAAUGCUUUACACAUGCAAGUCGAGCGGCAGCGCGGGGCAACCUGGCGGCGAGCGGCGAACGGGUGAGUAAUGCAUCGGAACGUACCCCGUCGUGGGGGAUAACUACCCGAAAGGGUAGCUAAUACCGCAUACGACCUGAGGGUGAAAGCGGGGGACCGAAAGGCCUCGCGCGAUGGGAGCGGCCGAUGCCGGAUUAGCUAGUUGGUAGGGUAAAGGCCUACCAAGGCGACGAUCCGUAGCUGGUCUGAGAGGACGACCAGCCACACUGGAACUGAGACACGGUCCAGACUCCUACGGGAGGCAGCAGUGGGGAAUUUUGGACAAUGGGCGAAAGCCUGAUCCAGCCAUUCCGCGUGAGUGAAGAAGGCCU